rnacentral:rRNA from 1 species
UCGAACGAAGCAGCUUGAUUUGAUUCUUCGGAUGAAGAUCUUGGUGACUGAGUGGCGGACGGGUGAGUAACGCGUGGGUAACCUGCCUCAUACAGGGGGAUAACAGUUAGAAAUGACUGCUAAUACCGCAUAAGACCACAGCACCGCAUGGUGCAGGGGUAAAAACUCCGGUGGUAUGAGAUGGACCCGCGUCUGAUUAGGUAGUUGGUGGGGUAACGGCCUACCAAGCCGACGAUCAGUAGCCGACCUGAGAGGGUGACCGGCCACAUUGGGACUGAGACACGGCCCAAACUCCUAUGGGAGGCAGCAGUGGGGAAUAUUGCACAAUGGGGGAAACCCUGAUGCAGCGACGCCGCGUGAGCGAUGAAGUAUUUCGGUAUGUAAAGCUCUAUCAGCAGGGAAGAAAAUGACGGUACCUGACUAAGAAGCACCGGCUAAAUACGUGCCAGCAGCCGCGGUAAUACGUAUGGUGCAAGCGUUAUCCGGAUUUACUGGGUGUAAAGGGAGCGUAGACGGAGUGGCAAGUCUGAUGUGAAAACCCGGGGCUCAACCCCGGGACUGCAUUGGAAACUGUCAAUCUAGAGUACCGGAGAGGUAAGCGGAAUUCCUAGUGUAGCGGUGAAAUGCGUAGAUAUUAGGAGGAACACCAGUGGCGAAGGCGGCUUACUGGAC